rnacentral:pre_miRNA from 2 species
GUAUAGCUGUUGAGCUGAAUCCUGGUUCCACUGAAAUAAUGGUAGUUUUGUCGUUGACUUCAGUAGAAUCAGGAUUUGGCUCAUAAUUAGCUGUG